rnacentral:rRNA from 2 species
UGCUAGUCGAGCGGACCUCUUCGGAGGUCAGCGGCGGACGGGUGAGUAACACGUGGGCAACCUGCCUGUAAGACUGGGAUAACUCCGGGAAACCGGAGCUAAUACCGGAUACUAUGUCAAACCGCAUGGUUUGACAUUCAAAGACGGUUUCGGCUGUCACUUACAGAUGGGCCCGCGGCGCAUUAGCUAGUUGGUGAGGUAAUGGCUCACCAAGGCGACGAUGCGUAGCCGACCUGAGAGGGUGAUCGGCCACACUGGGACUGAGACACGGCCCAGACUCCUACGGGAGGCAGCAGUAGGGAAUCUUCCGCAAUGGACGAAAGUCUGACGGAGCAACGCCGCGUGAGUGAUGAAGGUUUUCGGAUCGUAAAACUCUGUUGUCAGGGAAGAACAAGUGCCGGAGUAACUGCCGGCACCUUGACGGUACCUGACCAGAAAGCCACGGCUAACUACGUGCCAGCAGCCGCGGUAAUACGUAGGUGGCAAGCGUUGUCCGGAAUUAUUGGGCGUAAAGCGCGCGCAGGCGGUUUCUUAAGUCUGAUGUGAAAGCCCCCGGCUCAACCGGGGAGGGUCAUUGGAAACUGGGAAACUUGAGUGCAGAAGAGGAGAGUGGAAUUCCACGUGUAGCGGUGAAAUGCGUAGAGAUGUGGAGGAACACCAGUGGCGAAGGCGACUCUCUGGGUCUGUAACUGACGCUGAGGCGCGAAAGCGUGGGGAGC